UGGGGAAUAUUGGACAAUGGGCGCAAGCCUGAUCCAGCCACGCCGCGUGAGUGAUGAAGGCCUUCGGGUCGUAAAGCUCUGUGGGGAGGGACGAACCGCUGCACGUUCAUAGCGUGCAGCAUGACGGUACCUCCUUAGCAAGCACCGGCUAACUUCGUGCCAGCAGCCGCGGUAAUACGAAGGGUGCAAACGUUGCUCGGAAUCAUUGGGCGUAAAGCGCACGUAGGCGGCUUUGCAAGUCGGAUGUGAAAUCCCUCGGCUCAACCAAGGAAGUGCAUCCGAAACUGCAGAGCUUGAGUACUUAAGAGGAUCGCGGAAUUCCCGGUGUAGAGGUGAAAUUCGUAGAUAUCGGGAGGAACACCAGUGGCGAAGGCGGCGAUCUGGGAAGAUACUGACGCUGAGGUGCGAAAGCGUGGGGAGCAAACA
rnacentral:rRNA from 1 species